rnacentral:rRNA from 1 species
AUCGAACGCUGGCGGCAUGCUUAACACAUGCAAGUCGAGCGAGCGGCGGACGGGUGAGUAAUGUCUGGGAAACCGCCUGAUGGAGGGGGAUAACUACUGGAAAUGGUAGCUAAUACCGCAUACCAUCUGAUGUGCCCAGAUGGGAUGAGCUAGUAGGUGGGGUAACGGCUCACCUAGGCGACGAUCCCUAGCUGGUCUGAGAGGAUGACAAGCCACCCUGGAACGGAGACACGGUCCAGACUCCUACGGGAGGCAGCAGUGGGGAAUAUUGCACAAUGGGCGGAAGCCUGAUACAGCCAUGCCGCGUGUGUGAAGAAGGCCUUCGGGUUGUAAAGCACUUUCAGCGGGGAGGCGUUACCCGCAGAAGAAGCACCGGCUAACUCCGUGCCAGCAGCCGCGGUAAUUC